GAAAUGCGAUAAGUAGUGUGAAUUGCAGAAUUCAGUGAAUCAUCGAAUCUUUGAACGCACAUUGCGCCCCUCGGUAUUCCGUGGGGCAUACCUGUUCGAGCGUCAUCUACACCCUCAAGCUCUGCUUGGUGUUGGGCGUCUGUCCCGCCUCCGCGCGCGGACUCGCCCCAAAUGCAUUGGCAGCGGUUCCUUGCCCCCCUCUUUGCGCAGCACAUUGCCAUUCGAGGCGGCGGCGGCCCGCGUCCAACAAGCUCAACCCCCCCGUCUUUGACCUCGGAUCAGGUAGGGAUACCCGCUGAACUUAAGC
rnacentral:misc_RNA from 1 species